UACGGAGGGAGCUAGCGUUGUUCGGAAUUACUGGGCGUAAAGCGCACGUAGGCGGCUUUGUAAGUUAGAGGUGAAAGCCCGGGGCUCAACUCCGGAAUUGCCUUUAAGACUGCAUCGCUUGAAUCCGGGAGAGGUGAGUGGAAUUCCGAGUGUAGAGGUGAAAUUCGUAGAUAUUCGGAAGAACACCAGUGGCGAAGGCGGCUCACUGGACCGGUAUUGACGCUGAGGCACGAAAGCGUGGGGAUCAAACAGG
rnacentral:rRNA from 1 species